UACGUAGGGGGCAAGCGUUGUCCGGAUUUAUUGGGCGUAAAGAGCUCGUAGGCGGUCUGUCGCGUCGAUCGUGAAAACUUGGGGCUUAACCCUGAGCUUGCGGUCGAUACGGGCAUGACUGGAGUUCGGCAGGGGAGACUGGAAUUCCUGGUGUAGCGGUGAAAUGCGCAGAUAUCAGGAGGAACACCGGCGGCGAAGGCGGCACUCUGGGCCGGUACUGACGCUGAGGAGCGAAAGCGUGGGUAGCAAACAGG
rnacentral:rRNA from 1 species